rnacentral:lncRNA from 1 species
ACAGGAUUCAUGAGAUGCAUAUGUCCUUCUGGAAUGAUAUCCUCCAGAGGGCCGUGUGGAAUCGUCCUAAUCCGGGAAGAGCCACUGCCUCCCUGUGUGAUCUGACACAGUGACAUAUCACUUGACCUCGGUCGCGGCAGCUGUACAGCGAGGUGGAAAAGGCGGCUGACGGACAAGCAGGGGAUGCCUUUCAGCACAGCUUCCUCGGGAUACAGUUGAGAAGAAUGUAUGCUAUAUGGAAGAACACGCAGAAGUUGUGAGCAACCACACGGUCUGAAUGUUAAGGGUUCAUCCAUCUUCCUGCACAAGAAUGCCUUUAUCUGGAAAAGACAAACAUCCCAGGAGUCUGUAAGAAGUAAGAAGUAAGCUGUUGCAGCUUGAAUUUGUGAGAGGACUUCUGUGGAGCCUGAACCACCUCCCUCCAUCUCAAAGGAGACCGAGCCUUCCCUCUUUCUUAAAGGUUGGUACAAUAUCCAGGUAUGGUCCUUCGCCUUCUGUGUUUUAAAAAUGCC